rnacentral:rRNA from 1 species
UACGGGGGGGGCAAGCGUUGUUCGGAAUUACUGGGCGUAAAGGGCGCGUAGGCGGUUUGCUAAGUUGGAUGUGAAAACUGUGGGCUCAACCCAUAGCCUGCAUCCAAAACUGGUAGGCUAGAGUUCUGGAGGGGAUAGCGGAGUUCCUGGUGUAGCGGUGAAAUGCGUAGAUAUCAGGAGGAACACCGGUGGCGAAGGCGGCUAUCUGGACAGAGUCUGACGCUGAGGCGCGAAAGCUAGGGGAGCAAACAGG